GCCGAUGUGGCUCAGUGGUAGAGCAACUGAUUCGUAAUCAGUAGGUCGUGGGUUCAAAUCCCAUCAUCGGCU
rnacentral:tRNA from 1 species